GACGAACGCUGGCGGCGUGCUUAACACAUGCAAGUCGAACGGAAAGGCCCUGCUUUUGUGGGGUGCUCGAGUGGCGAACGGGUGAGUAACACGUGAGUAACCUGCCCUUGACUUUGGGGUAACUUCAGGAAACUGGGGCUAAUACCGGAUAGGAGCUCCUGCUGCAUGGUGGGGGUUGGAAAGUUUCGGCGGUUGGGGAUGGACUCGCGGCUUAUCAGCUUGUUGGUGGGGUAGUGGCUUACCAAGGCUUUGACGGGUAGCCGGCCUGAGAGGGUGACCGGCCACAUUGGGACUGAGAUACGGCCCAGACGCCUACGGGAGGCAGCAGUCGAGAAUAUUGCACAAUGGGCGGAAGCCUGAUGCAGCAACGCCGCGUGCGGGAAGACGGCCUUCGGGUUGUAAACCGAUUUCGCCUGUGACGAAGCGUGAGUGACGGUAAUGGGUAAAGAAGCACCGGCUAACUACGUG
rnacentral:rRNA from 1 species